UUUUAGGGCUGCACCCGUGGCAUAUGGAGGUUCCUAGGCUAGGAGUCUAAUCGGAGCUGUAGCUGCCAGCCUAUGCCACAGCCACAGCAAGCCAGAUCCGAGCCAAGUCCACGACCUACACCAUAGCUCACAGCAACAACAGAUCCUUAACCCACUGAGCAAGGCCAGGGAUCAAACCCAAAACCUCAUGGUUCCUAGUUGGCUUCGUUUCUGCUGCACCAUGAUAGGAACUCCUUUUUUUUUUCUUUGUCUUACUAUUUUAUAAUAAAGUAUUGAACAUUUCAUGUAAUUUAUUGAAUACUGUUCUGAAAAACAGAAGGGUUGCAAUGAGUACACAAUAGUUAUACGUGUACGGGUUGUUGACCUUGGUGAUGGUGUGGCAGAUUAGGACCUACAACUGCAGUUACACCCUGGCAUCAUGGGUACAGUAUAUCAGUAGCCUGGGAAAAAAUCUAAAAUCAAAAUUCAAAAUUUGAAGUAUGGUUUCUACUUAAUGGGUAUUGCUUUCUUACCAUUGUAAAGGUAAAAAAAUCAUAAGUGAAACCAUCAUAAGACAGGGAAUAUCUGUAAUGAGAAAAUUAAUUACCUUUAAUUUAUUAGCUGUGAUAAUGACGUUGCAAUUUUUUUGGUAUUUGUUAUAAAUUAAACUGAAGUGUUUAUAGGUAAAAUAUAAUUUCAAAUAUUUACUAUAAAAACUCCAGAAAAAGUGGGAGUUCCCAUUGUGGUUCAGCAGGUUAAGAAGCUGACUAGUAUCCAUGAGGAUGCAGGUUCAAUCCCUGGCCUCAAUCAGUGACUUAAGGAUCCGGCAUUGCCCCAAACUGAUCACACAUUGCAUUGCUGUGGCUGUGGUUUAGGCCAGCAGCUGGAGCUCUGGUUUAUACCUCUUCUUCAGGAACUUCCAUUUGCUGUAGGAGCAGCCCUAAAAACAAACAAACAAACAAACAAACCUCCAAAAAAGAAAAUAUGUCUGUAGUAGGAAGCAAAGAACAGAAAAAAACCAAUAACUGACAAAAUAUAAUUAUUAAAGCUGGGUGAUAACUACAUGGAGGUUCCUUAUACAUUUUUUAAUACAUUUGGAAAUUUCAAUACUAUGUUUGGACAAAAUAAAUGCCAGUACUGUACUUUGUAGUAGAAAACUUUGGGUAACCAUGUUGCAAAACUUGGAGUUCCCAUGUGGCUCAGCAGGUUAAGGAUUUGGUGUUGUCGCCUCAGAUUUUGGGUCAUUACUGUGGUGAAGGUUCAGUCCCUAAUGGGAACUUCUGCAUGCUCCAGACAUGACUCAAAAAACCCCAAACCAACCAAACAAAGAAAAACAAAAAACUGUGUUGCAAAACUCAACUGAGAGAUAAUCCAAAAACAACAAAUAUUUAGUUCUCCAUUUAUAAUGACAAAUUUCUGUGACAGUUUUUAACUCUUACCAUCAUAUUUGUUUUUAAAUCAUCACUUUUUUUUUGUUUGGUUAGUUGAUUGGUUUUUCUUUGGGGGGGGUUGUUUUUUCGCUUUUUAGGGCCACACCUGAGGCAUAUGAAAAUUCCCAGGCUAGGGGUUGAAAUCAGAGCUGCAAUUGCCAGCCCACACCACAAACCCAGCAAUGCGGGAUCCAAGAUAUGUCUGCGACCUACACCACAGCUCAAAGCAACACCGGAUCCCUGACUCACUGAGUGAGGAUGGGGAUCAUACCCGAAUCCUCAUGGAUACUAGUUGGAUUCAUUUCUGCUGUGCCACAACAGGAACUCCAAAUCAUCACUGUUUCAAUUAGUGGCGAUUUUAAAUUUACUGUUAAUUUUCACUUUACUUGCUGGGAAGAAUAUAUAUAUGAAAAAGAGACAGAUAGAUACAUAUAGGUAAUAUGGAAAUUACCCAUAAUGGAACUUGGGAAGCAAAAAGUGAUUAAAGAACAAGACAUUACUGUCUAUACAAAUUCUCCAGAAGGAGUUUUCCAAAGUCCAAGUAGUUGCACUGCUUAUUCUUUAUUUACUUAUUACUACUUAGCAGGUGGCUUCACAUAGAGUUUAAUCAAUGGGAGUACCAGUUGGAGAUUAUGUAGUGAAGGAGGAAGAUCUGAAAGUGGUUGGGUCCUUCCCAAACAGCAGGUACUGGCAAUGGCCCAUCCUCCUUAACUCCAGUGAUUACUGGUCUCCCAUAACACUUAUUUUCUCCCUUUGUCCUCUCAGACAAGGGAGGGAUCAUGAAUAGCUGCUUAAUAUUUAUUGCUGGUUUCUUGGUGGCUCAAAAUUACAGCUAUCCCUCUUAAGUUUACACACACCUCCUAAUAGUCCC
rnacentral:lncRNA from 1 species